rnacentral:rRNA from 1 species
AGAGCGAACGCUGGCGGCAGGCCUAACACAUGCAAGUCGAGCGCCCCGCAAGGGGAGCGGCAGACGGGAGAGUAACACGUGGGAACGUACCUUUCGGUUCGGAACAACCCAGGGAAACUUGGGCUAAUACCGGAUACGUCCGUAAGGAGAAAGAUUUAUCGCCGAAAGAUCGGCCCGCGUCUGAUUAGCUAGUUGGUGAGGUAACGGCUCACCAAGGCGACGAUCAGUAGCUGGUCUGAGAGGAUGAUCAGCCUCACUGGGACUGAGACACGGCCCAGACUCCUACGGGAGGCAGCAGUGGGGAAUAUUGGACAAUGGGCGCAAGCCUGAUCCAGCCAUGCCGCGUGGGUGAUGAAGGCCCUAGGGUUGUAAAGCCCUUUCGGGCGGGGAAGAUAAUGACGGUACCCGCAGAAGAAGCCCCGGCUAACUUCGUGCCAGCAGCCGC